rnacentral:lncRNA from 1 species
AUGCAGAUAGGAGCGAAGGAGCUGAAAGGACUUUUAAAGGCCACGGAUUCCAACCUCUACCAUACAGAGGCCUUAAGUGUUUCGGUGAGGUGCCCAAGGAUUCACAGGGAAGGGGCAAAAUCAGAACCCCGCUCUCCUGACUCUGCCCACUCCCCGGUGGCUAGGGUGGGCCUGUCUCCUUCCUUACCCAGCUCCCUCCCUCUCCUCGGCGCCUGUGGCACUGAUUAGAACAGCACCCCACAAAGACACCCAUUUAAAAAACAAACAAAACCCAAGUGUAUUAAUAGCUAUAGUACUUCAUAUAGAAUGUACUCUUAAGACUUAAUAUUUAUUGCUCUAAGUGGACACCACUGAUUGCCAAUAAAGACUCAUUUUUCCCCCUA